AUAGGAGGAUCUGUAUAUAGGAGGUUGUGAAUAUAGGAGGUUGUGUAUAUAGGAGGAUCUGUAUAUAGGAGGUUGUGAAUAUAGGAGGUUGUGUAUAUAGGAGGAUCUGUAUAUAGGAGGAUCUGUAUAUAGGAGGUUGUGUAUAUAGGAGGAUCUGUAUAUAGGAGGUUGUGUAUAUAGGAGGAUCUGUAUAUAGGAGGUUGUGUAUAUAGGAGGAUCUGUAUAUAGGAGGUUGUGUAUAUAGGAGGUUGUGUAUAUAGGAGGUUGUGUAUAUAGGAGGUUGUGUAUAUAGGAGGUUGUGUAUAUAGAAGGUUGUUUAUAUAGGAGGUUGUGUAUAUAGGAGGUUGUGUAUAUAGG